AGUCAAGUAAUUAAGUGCAUGUGGUGGAUGCCUUGGCAGUCAGAGGCGAUGAAAGACGUGAUAGCCUGCGAAAAGCUCCGGGGAGGCGGCAAAUAUCCUUUGAUCCGGAGAUGUCUGAAUGGGGGAACCCACCUACUUUAAGGUAGGUAUUGCAACAUGAAUACAUAGUGUUGCAAGGCGAACGAGGGGAAGUGAAACAUCUCAGUACCCUUAGGAAAAGAAAUCAAUUGAGAUUCCCUCAGUAGCGGCGAGCGAACGGGGAUCAGCCCAUUAAGUUAUGUGUGUUUUAGUGGAACGCUCUGGGAAGUGCGAACGUAGAGGGUGAUAUUCCCGUACACGAAAGGGCACACAUAAUGAUGACGAGUAGGGCGAGGCACGUGAAACCUUGUCUGAAUAUGGGGGGACCAUCCUCCAAGGCUAAAUACUCCUGACUGACCGAUAGUGAACCAGUACCGUGAGGGAAAGGCGAAAAGAACCCCUGUGAGGGGAGUGAAAUAGAUCCUGAAACCGCAUGCAUACAAGCAGUGGGAGCACCUUCGUGGUGUGACUGCGUACCUUUUGUAUAAUGGGUCAGCGACUUAUAUUCAGUAGCGAGGUUAACCGUAUAGGGGAGCCGUAGAGAAAUCGAGUCUUAAUAGGGCGUUUAGUUGCUGGGUAUAGACCCGAAACCAGGCGAUCUAUCCAUGAGCAGGUUGAAGGUUGGGUAACACUAACUGGAGGACCGAACCCACUGUCGUUGAAAAGCCAGGGGAUGACUUGUGGAUAGGGGUGAAAGGCUAAUCAAGCCUGGUGAUAGCUGGUUCUCCCCGAAAGCUAUUUAGGUAGCGCCUCGGACGAAUACCAUAGGGGGUAGAGCACUGUUUCGGCUAGGGGGUCAUCCCGACUUACCAAACCGAUGCAAACUCCGAAUACCUAUGAGUACUAUCCGGGAGACAGACUGCGGGUGCUAACGUCCGUAGUCAAGAGGAAAACAAUCCAGACCGCCAGCUAAGGCCCCAAAAUCAUAGUUAAGUGGGAAACGAUGUGGGAAGGCAUAGACAGCUAGGAGGUUGGCUUAGAAGCAGCCACCCUUUAAAGAAAGCGUAAUAGCUCACUAGUCGAGUCGGCCUGCGCGGAAGAUGUAACGGGGCUAAAACUAUGUGCCGAAGCUGCGGAUGUAUACUUUGUAUACGUGGUAGGGGAGCGUUCUGUAAGCCGAUGAAGGUGUGUUGAGAAGCAUGCUGGAGGUAUCAGAAGUGCGAAUGCUGACGUGAGUAACGACAAAACGGGUGAAAAACCCGUUCGCCGAAAGACCAAGGGUUCCAGUCCAACGUUAAUCGGGGCUGGGUGAGUCGACCCCUAAGGCGAGGCCGAAAGGCGUAGUCGAUGGGAAAAUGGUUAAUAUUCCAUUACUUCUGUGUAAUGCGAUGAGAGGACGGAGAAGGCUAAAUCAGCCUGGCGUUGGUUGUCCAGGUGAAAGGAUGUAGGCAUGUAUCUUAGGCAAAUCCGGGGUACUCUAUGCUGAGAUCUGAUAGCAAGCUGUACUUGUACAGCGAAGUGGUUGAUGCCAUGCUUCCAGGAAAAGUCUCUAAGCUUCAGUUACACAGGAAUCGUACCCGAAACCGACACAGGUGGUCAGGUCGAGUAGACCAAGGCGCUUGAGAGAACUCUGCUGAAGGAACUAGGCAAAAUGGUACCGUAACUUCGGGAGAAGGUACGCUGUUGUUGGUGAUGGAACUCGCUUCCUGAGCUGACGACAGCCGCAGAAAACCAGGCCGCUGCAACUGUUUAUUAAAAACAUAGCACUCUGCAAACACGAAAGUGGACGUAUAGGGUGUGAUGCCUGCCCGGUGCUGGAAGGUUAAUUGAUGGGGUUAGCGUAAGCGAAGCUCUUGAUCGAAGCCCCAGUAAACGGCGGCCGUAACUAUAACGGUCCUAAGGUAGCGAAAUUCCUUGUCGGGUAAGUUCCGACCUGCACGAAUGGCAUAAUGAUGGCGGCGCCUGUCUCCAGCAGAGGCUCAGUGAAAUCGAAAUCGCUGUGAAGAUGCAGUGUACCCGCGGCUAGACGGAAAGACCCCGUGAACCUUUACUGCAGCUUGACACUGAACUUUGACCUUACUUGUGUAGGAUAGGUGGGAGGCUUUGAAGCUGGAACGCUAGUUCCAGUGGAGCCGUCCUUGAAAUACCACCCUGGUAAUGUUGAGGUUCUAACUCUGUCCCGUGAUCCGGGACGAGGACCGUGUCUGGUGGGUAGUUUGACUGGGGCGGUCUCCUCCUAAAGAGUAACGGAGGAGUACGAAGGUGCGCUCAGCGUGGUCGGAAAUCACGCGUAGAGUAUAAAGGCAAAAGCGCGCUUAACUGCGAGACCCACAAGUCGAGCAGGUACGAAAGUAGGUCUUAGUGAUCCGGUGGUUCUGUAUGGAAGGGCCAUCGCUCAACGGAUAAAAGGUACUCUGGGCGAUAACAGGCUGAUACCGGCCCAAGAGUUCAUAUCGACGGCGGUGUUUGGCACCUCGAUGUCGGCUCAUCUCAAUCCUGGGGCUGAAGCAGGUCCCAAGGGUAUGGCUGUUCGCCAUUUAAAGAGGUACGCGAGCUGGGUUUAGAACGUCGUGAGACAGUUCGGUCCCUAUCUACCGUGGGCGCUGGAAAUUUGAGAGGAUCUGCUCCUAGUACGAGAGGACCAGAGUGGACGAACCUCUGGUGUACCGGUUGUGACGCCCCAGUCGCAUCGCCGGGUAGCUAUGUUCGGAAGGGAUAACCGCUGAAAGCAUCUAAGCGGGAAGCCUACCUCAAGAUAAGA
rnacentral:rRNA from 1 species